rnacentral:rRNA from 1 species
GACGAACGCUGGCGGCGUGCUUAACACAUGCAAGUCGAACGGAAAGGCCCUGCUUUUGUGGGGUGCUCGAGUGGCGAACGGGUGAGUAACACGUGAGUAACCUGCCCUUGACUUUGGGAUAACUUCAGGAAACUGGGGCUAAUACCGGAUAGGAGCUCCUGCUGCAUGGUGGGGGUUGGAAAGUUUCGGCGGUUGGGGAUGGACUCGCGGCUUAUCAGCUUGUUGGUGGGGUAGUGGCUUACCAAGGCUUUGACGGGUAGCCGGCCUGAGAGGGUGACCGGCCACAUUGGGACUGAGAUACGGCCCAGACCCCUCCGCUAGGCAGCAGUGGGGAAUAUUGCACAAUGGGCUGAAGCCUGAUGCAGCACCGCCGCGUGCGGGAUGACGGCCUUCGGGUUGUAUACCGCUUUCGCCUGUGACGAAGCGUGAGUGACGGUACUGGGUAAAGAAGCACCGGCUAACUACGUG